GGGGGGGGCAAGCGUUGUUCGGAAUUACUGGGCGUAAAGGGCGCGCAGGCGGGCGGGACAGUCUCUCGUGAAAUCCCACGGCUCAACCGUGGAAUUGCGGGAGAUACUACUCGUCUUGAGUCCGGGAGAGGAGUGUGGAAUUCCCAGUGUAGCGGUGAAAUGCGUAGAUAUUGGGAGGAACACCGGUGGCGAAGGCGGCACUCUGGACCGGUACUGACGCUGAGGCGCGAAAGCUAGGGGAGCAAACGGGAUUAGAUACCCCGGGUAGUCCUAGCUGUAAACGAUGAGCACUUGGUGUAGCGGGUAUCGACCCCUGCUGUGCCGAAGCUAACGCAUUAAGUGCUCCGCCUGGGGAUACGGUCGCAAGGCUG
rnacentral:rRNA from 1 species